GUGAGGAAUAUUGGUCAAUGGGCGGGAGCCUGAACCAGCCAAGUCGCGUGAAGGAAGAAGGAUCUAUGGUUCGUAAACUUCUUUUGCAGGGGAAUAAAGUGCAGGACGUGUCCUGUUUUGUAUGUACCCUGAGAAUAAGGAUCGGCUAACUCCGUGCCAGCAGCCGCGGUAAUACGGAGGAUCCGAGCGUUAUCCGGAUUUAUUGGGUUUAAAGGGUGCGUAGGUGGUUUGAUACGUCAGCGGUGAAAGUUUGCAGCUUAACUGUAAAAAUGCCGUUGAAACUGUCGGACUUGAGUGUAAAUGAGGUAGGCGGAAUGCGUGGUGUAGCGGUGAAAUGCAUAGAUAUCACGCAGAACUCCGAUUGCGAAGGCAGCUUACUAAGCUACAACUGACACUGAAGCACGAAAGCGUGGGGAUCAAACAGGAUUAGAUACCCUGGUAGUCC
rnacentral:rRNA from 1 species